UUGUAUAAUGGGUCAGCGACUUAUAUUCUGUAGCAAGGUUAACCGUAUAGGGGAGCCGUAGGGAAACCGAGUCUUAACCGGGCGUUAAGUUGCAGGGUAUAGACCCGAAACCCGGUGAUCUAGCCAUGGGCAGGUUGAAGGUUGGGUAACACUAACUGGAGGACCGAACCGACUAAUGUUGAAAAAUUAGCGGAUGACCUGUGGCUGGGGGUGAAAGGCCAAUCAAACCGGGAGAUAGCUGGUUCUCCCCGAAAGCUAUUUAGGUAGCGCCUCGUGAAUUCAUCUCCGGGGGUAGAGCACUGUUUCGGCUAGGGGGCCAUCCCGGCUUACCAACCCGAUGCAAACUGCGAAUACCGGAGAAUGUUAUCACGGGAGACACACGGCGGGUGCUAACGUCCGUCGUGAAGAGGGAAACAACCCAGACCGCCAGCUAAGGUCCCAAAGUCAUGGUUAAGUGGGAAACGAUGUGGGAAGGCCCAGACAGCCAGGAUGUUGGCUUAGAAGCAGCCAUCAUUUAAAGAAAGCGUAAUAGCUCACUGGUCGAGUCGGCCUGCGCGGAAGAUGUAACGGGGCUAAACCAUG
rnacentral:rRNA from 1 species